rnacentral:lncRNA from 1 species
AUGAUUUUUUCAUCUUUUGGAAUUCCAACCUCAGAGGCAUUAAUUUCAAAGACCUUGGAUGAAUAUAAAAAACAUAUUUCCAUUAAGUGCAUUCGGGAAGUUGGUGCAAGUAUUUUCGAAGGCAAGGCUAGUGUAACUGAUGCUUGUUGUCAUGAUCUUGCAUCUGUAGGCAAAAAUUGCCAUGAUCUAUUCUUCAACUUUGCUCUUGCGCCUAAACUCAAUGUCGACAAAUCUAGAGCCUUGGCAAAGCGCGAACAAGUUUGGAGUCCAUGUGUUGCAAUUACAGUUUCUCCUACAUCUUCUAUCACAAUUCCAACCUCAGAGGUAUUAAAUUUGAAGAUCUUGUAUGAAUGUAUAAAACAUAUCUCCAUUAAGUGCGCUGGGGAAGUUGGUGCAAGUAUUUUCGAAGGCGGGGCUAGUGUAACUAAUGCUUGUUGCCAUGAUCUUGUGUCUGUAGGCAAAACAUGUCAUGAUCGAUUCUUCAACUAUGUUCUUGCGUCUAAACCCAAUGUUGCCAAAUUUAGCGCUUUCGUAAAGAGUGCACAAGUUUGGAGUCGAUGUGUUGCAACUUGCAAUUACAGUUUCCCCUAA